UGGUUUUCUGAAACAGGUGAUUUGACUUU
rnacentral:piRNA from 1 species